rnacentral:rRNA from 1 species
UACAGAGGGGCGAGCGUUGUUCGGAAUUACUGGGCGUAAAGGGCGCGUAGGCGGCCAACUAAGUCAGACGUGAAAUCCCUCGGCUCAACCGGGGAACUGCGUCUGAUACUGGAUGGCUUGAAUUCGGGAGAGGGAUGCGGAAUUCCAGGUGUAGCGGUGAAAUGCGCAGAUAUCGGGAGGAACACCGGUGGCGAAGGCGGUUCUACUGGGCCUGACCUGACGCUGAGGAGCGAAAGCGUGGGGAGGCGAACAGG